AAAGUCCCCUUCGGGGGACAAGUAGAGUGGCGCACGGGUGAGUAACACGUAGGUAAUCUACCUUCGGAUGGGGAAUAACAACCGGAAACGGUUGCUAAUACCGCAUAAUGCAGCGGCACCUAAUGGUGACAGUUGUUAAAGCGGGGGAUCGAAAGACCUCGCGUCUGAAGAGGAGCCUGCGGCGGAUUAGCUAGUUGGUAAGGUAACGGCUUACCAAGGCAACGAUCCGUAGCCGGCCUGAGAGGGCGGUCGGCCACACUGACACUGACAUACGGGUCAGACUCCUACGGGAGGCAGCAGUCGGGAAUUUUGGGCAAUGGGCGAAAGCCUGACCCAGCAACGCCGCGUGAAGGAUGAAAUCCCUCGGGAUGUAAACUUCGCAAGAACGGGAAGAAUAAGUAGGGGACAAUACCCCCUAUGAUGACGGUACCGUUUGUAAGCUCCGGCUAACUCCGUGCCAGCAGCCGCGGUAAUACGGGGGGAGCAAGCGUUGUUCGGAUUUACUGGGCGUAAAGGGCGCGUAGGCGGCCAGCACAAGUCAGUUGUGAAAUCUCCGAGCUUAACUCGGAAAGGUCAACUGAUACUGUGCGGCUAGAGUGCGGAAGGGGCAACUGGAAUUCUUGGUGUAGCGGUGAAAUGCGUAGAUAUCAAGAGGAACACCUGCGGCGAAGGCGGGUUGCUGGGCCGACACUGACGCUGAGGCGCGAAAGCCAGGGGAGCGAACGGGAUUAGAUACCCCGGUAGUCCUGGCCUUAAACGAUGAAUGCUUGGUGUCUGGGGUUAUAUAGUCCCCGGGUGCCGUCGCUAACGCUUUAAGCAUU
rnacentral:rRNA from 1 species